rnacentral:snRNA from 1 species
GUGCUCACUUCGGCAGCAUGUAUACUAAAAUUGGAAUGAUACAGAGAAGAUUAGCAUGGUACCUGCACAAGGAUGACACACAAAUUCGUUAAAUAUUCCAUGUUUUU